rnacentral:rRNA from 1 species
GACGAACGCUGGCGGCGUGCUUGACACAUGCAAGUCGAACGGAAAGGCCUGCUUUCCCUUGUGGAUUGCGGGUACUCGAGUGGCGAACGGGUGAGUAACACGUGAGUGAUCUGCCCCCAACUUGGGUAUAAGCCUGGGAAACUGGGUCUAAUUCCCGAUAGGACUGCAGGGUGGUGCCUGUGGUGGAAAACGAUUUUCUAGUGGUUGGGGAUGAGCUCGCGGCCUAUCAGCUUGUUGGUGGGGUAAUGGCCUACCAAGGCGGCGACGGGUAGCCGGCCUGAGAGGGUGGACGGCCACAUUGGGACUGGGAUACGGCCCAGACUCCUACGGGAGGCAGCAGUGGGGAAUAUUGCACAAUGGGCGGAAGCCUGAUGCAGCGACGCCGCGUGGGGGAUGACGGCCUUCGGGUUGUAAACUCCUUUCGACCGCGAGGAAGCCACCUGGUUGGAAGGGUGGUGACGGUAGUGGUAGAAGAAGCACCGGCUAACUACG